rnacentral:rRNA from 1 species
UGGGGAAUUUUGGACAAUGGGGGCAACCCUGAUCCAGCGACGCCGCGUGGAGGACGAAGGUCUUCGGAUUGUAAACUCCUUUUAGAGGGGAUGAAUGCCUGCGUGAAAAACGCAGGGUGACAGUACUCUCUGAAUAAGCCACGGCUAACUACGUGCCAGCAGCCGCGGUAAUACGUAGGUGGCAAGCGUUACUCGGAAUCACUAGGCGUAAAGCGCAGGUAGGCGGUUCGGUAAGUCUCUUGUGAAAGCUCCCGGCUCAACUGGGAGAGGUCAAGGGAAACUGCCGGGCUAGAGUGUGGCAGAGGAAGCUGGAAUUCCCGGUGUAGCGGUGAAAUGCGUAGAGAUCGGGAGGAAUACCUAUGGCGAAAGCAGGCUUCUGGGCCGUCACUGACACUGAUCUGCGAAAGCUAGGGGAGCAAACAGG